CUUGACCAUCUUUUCUUUGCUUGCCCAUUUUCUGAGCAUGUUUGGCAAGCUUUGCAUGUGAAAUGUAACCUGUCUUGGGUUCAAUGAAGAUGGCCAAAUGCUCUUUCUUGGAUAGAGCAGUUUCAUGGGAGGUCAUUGCGUUCUACUUUUAUUCGUUUGAUGUUUGCGGCUUCGAUUUAUGCUAUUUGGCGUGAGCGUAAUGCUAGGACCCAUGGUGAGGCUCCUAAACAUGAGUCCGCUGUUAUUCUGGACAUUGUUUUUACUAUUUGUGCACGAGUGGAUUUAUGUAAGGGUUUGGCUCUAUCUAAUGAAAAUAGAUGGUUCCAAUGUUCAUAGGAUUUUUUUGUAGAUAUUUUCUCUUGUCAUGGCUAGGCAAAAAUCUCGGAUCUUGUUGUUGGUGCUAGGAAGGCAUAUAUUCCUAGCCUUGUUUCCUAGGGUAUGCCCCUGUGAUCUUAUACUUUAUUUUCACGCUUUGGAUAUA
rnacentral:lncRNA from 1 species